UACAGAGGUCCCAAGCGUUGUUCGGAUUCACUGGGCGUAAAGGGUGCGCAGGCGGCCAAGUGUGUUAGGCGUGAAAGCCUGGGGCUUAACCCCAGAAUUGCACCUAAAACUACAUGGCUAGAGCAUUGGAGAGGGUAGCGGAAUUCACGGUGUAGCAGUGAAAUGCGUAGAUAUCGUGAGGAACACCAGAGGCGAAGGCGGCUACCUGGACAAUUGCUGACGCUCAGGCACGAAAGCGUGGGGAGCGAACAGG
rnacentral:rRNA from 1 species